UACGUAGGUGGCAAGCGUUGUCCGGAUUUACUGGGCGUAAAGGGCGUGCAGGCGGUCUGUUAAGUCUAGGGUGAAAGCUCCCGGCUCAACUGGGAGAGGUCCUUGGAUACUGGCGGACUUGAGGGAGGCAGAGGAAAGUGGAAUUCCCGGUGUAGUGGUGAUAUGCGUAGAUAUCGGGAGGAACACCGGUGGCGAAGGCGGCAUCCUGGACCAACACUGACGCUGAGUGAGCGAAAGCCAGGGGAGCAAACGGG
rnacentral:rRNA from 1 species